CAAGUAUUCAGCCCAAGUUUAUUACCACAGUGGACUCGGGUUAUAAUUACCAACAGAGGAGAGAAUAACUAUAAGUUAUUUUGAUGUAAAAAGCAUAUUAUCCUAAGCCAACAUAAUAACACAGUUUUUAUGAAGCACAAUAAUUACUUUGAAGACUCACAGAAGUGCAUUUUUCUAAAAGAAGGAGAUUCUCAUACAGAAACAGAUUAACAGAAACAGAAACAGCAACACUAGAGAACAGCAAAAUAGUAACAUUUCAAAUAGUAACAUUUCAAGAAAAUAUAUACACCUUCACAGUAUGUGGUGGUAUCCACUUACUGUCUACUGCCUCCAUAACUCCUAAAGUCUUCUGAAGAUUUAUUAAUGCUUUGAAUAUAUGAGCCACCGUUUCUUUUCACAGCCUUUUCACAACUGGGAAUUCUUUAGAGAAAGGCAAUCUUACCUCAUUUACUUACUUCAUCAGUAAUGCCAUUACUAUGCCUACCUAAGAAGAAAAUAUAUCAUGUGGCAGAGGACUAGAAAGAAAAAACAACAACAAAAGGCUGUGAAGAUUUGAUCAUAUGCCUACGUGUGUGGUGAAUACAAUAUUUCUUUAAUCGCAAUCAGGAAUAUAAAUCUUAUUUUGAUGCUAUGACAUAAUAAAGUGCAUUAUUUUCCUGAAAUUUUCCUCUUGUCUCUGUUUUAUAUUUGCAUAAAUAAUCCAUUUAAAUACCAGAUUCUAAGAUAACAUUUGCUAUAAAUGGUUUUAAUUUUAUCAGGAGAAAUAUAUUCAAAGGUGUUGUGAACUUACUUUAUUUUCAUCUAUCAAUUUAUAAUUUCUACACAACAAGGAAUAAAAACAGAUUUGCAUCUCAUGUCAGUAUAGAUAAUAAUUGUCUCUUCAUUAAUUUUACAUUUGUCUAUACACCUAAAAAGAAACCAAGGUGUUCAUAGUGGAAAAAAAAUACUUCUUGACAUAUUUUAGUCAUUAUUUCUGCAAAUGUUUCUUGAGAAUCUACCUUUUGCCAGGCACUUUGUGAAGUUAUGGAAAUAGCAAUGAAAAAAAAGGGGUGCAGGGGUGUGGGGAUCCCUGCCUCUAGUGAGUGAAACAUGUAGAAGAAUGAUAAACAGAAUAUUCCAGUUAUUGACAUGGUUUGGGUAUUUGUCCCCUUCAAAUCUCAUGUUGAAAUGUGAUUCCUGAUGUUGGGGAUGGGGCCUGGUAGCAAGUACUUGGGUCAUGGGGCCGGGUCCCUCAUGAAUGGCUCUGUGUGCUUACCGUGGUAGAAAGUGAGUUCUGGCUCCAUUAGUGCACCUGAGAGCUAGUUGUUUAAUGGAGUCUCACAUCUCCCUCUGGAUAGGCAUCCAGGCAAAAAAAACAGUAGGUGUAAAAAUAGAAAGAAGGUUAGCAUGCCUGGAGAGGAGAAUAAGAAAAACCAAGGUCGAUGGACCACCUAAAUUCUUGAACAAAAUUUGUUUAAUGGAAAAUUCUAGGUUAAAUCUUCAGAAAGUAUAAAGAUGAUGAGACUGAAAUAAAACAUGCAUACUUCAGACUUUGAAAAAA
rnacentral:lncRNA from 1 species